rnacentral:rRNA from 1 species
AUGCACGCUGGCGGCGUGCCUAAUCCCUGCAAGUCGCGCGAACAGACGAGGAGCUUACUCCUCUGACGUUAGCGGCGGACGGGUGAGUAACACGUGGAUAACCUACCUAUAAGACUGGGAUAACUUCGGGAAACCGGAGCUAAUACCGGAUAACAUGUUGAACCGCAUGGUUCAACAGUGAAAGACGGUCUUGCUGUCACUUAUAGAUGGAUCCGCGUCGCAUUAGCUAGUUGGUAAGGUAACGGCUUACCAAGGCAACGAUGCGUAGCCGACCUGAGAGGGUGAUCGGCCACACUGGAACUGAGACACGGUCCAGACUCCUACGGGAGGCAGCAGUAGGGAAUCUUCCGCAAUGGGCGAAAGCCUGACGGAGCAACGCCGCGUGAGUGAAGAAGGUCUUCGGAUCGUAAAACUCUGUUAUUAGGGAAGAACAAAUGUGUAAGUAACUAUGCACGUCUUGACGGUACCUAAUCAGAAAGCCACGGCUAACUACGUG